rnacentral:rRNA from 1 species
UACGGGAGGCAGCAGUGGGGAAUAUUGCACAAUGGGCGCAAGCCUGAUGCAGCCAUGCCGCGUGUAUGAAGAAGGCCUUCGGGUUGUAAAGUACUUUCAGUCGUGAGGGAGGUGUUAAGGUUAAUAACCUUAGCAAUUGACGUUAGCGACAGAAGAAGCACCGGCUAACUCCGUGCCAGCAGCCGCGGUAAUACGGAGGGUGCGAGCGUUAAUCGGAAUUACUGGGCGUAAAGGGCACGCAGGCGGUUAAUUAAGUUGGAUGUGAAAUCCCCGGGCUUAACCUGGGAAUGGCAUUCAAGACUGGUUAGCUAGAGUCUUGUAGAGGGGGUAGAAUUCCAUGUGUAGCGGUGAAAUGCGUAGAGAUGUGGAGGAAUACCGGUGGCGAAGGCGGCCCCUGGACAAAGACUGACGCUCAUGUGCGAAAGCGUGGGGAGCAAACAGGGAUUAGAUACC